GAUGAACGCUGGCGGCGUGCCUAAUACAUGCAAGUCGAGCGAACGGACGAGAAGCUUGCUUCUCUUAUGUAAGCGGCGCACGGGCGAGUAACACGUGGAUAACCUACCUAUAAGACUGGGAUAACUUCGGGAAACCGGCGCUAAUACCGGAUAAUAUUCUGAACCGCAUGGUUCAUAAGUGCAACACGGUCUUGCGGUCACUUAUAGACGGAUCAGCGCUUCAUUAGCUAGUUGGUAAGAUAACGGCUUACCACGGCGACGAUGCAUAGCCGACAUGAGAGGGUGGUCCGCCACACAGUAACUGAGUCGCGCACCGGCGUCCUAAGGGAGGCAGCAAUAGAGAAUCUUCCGCAAUAGGAGAGAGACUGACGGAGCAACGUGGCGUGAGAGAUGAAGGUCUGCGGAGCGGAAGACUCUGUUAUUGGGGAAGAACAGAUGUGUCUGUAACUGUGCCCAAAUUGACGGUACCUAAUCAGAAGGCCACGGCUAACUACGUG
rnacentral:rRNA from 1 species